ACAGAGGGUGCAAACGUUGCUCGGAAUUACUGGGCGUAAAGCGCGUGUAGGCUGACCGGAAAGUCGGGCGUGAAAGCCCUGGGCUCAACCCAGGAACUGCACUCGAAACUCCCGGUCUAGAGUGGUGGAGAGGGAAGUGGAAUUCCUGGUGUAGAGGUGAAAUUCGUAGAUAUCAGGAGGAACACCAGUGGCGAAGGCGGCUUCCUGGACACCAACUGACGCUGAGACGCGAAAGCGUGGGGAGCAAACAGGA
rnacentral:rRNA from 1 species